UCGCCUCCCUCUCCAAGGCAUCAAGGAAAGGGCAUAGAGUUCCCACUGCUGUUCCUCGGGUGGCCCUGAGUUUCUCCGGCCUGUGUGAGACAGAGGGUGGCAGGGAUGAUAUGAGGAGUGGGGCUGGGCCCUGGGCAAAGCCAGCAGAUUGCUCUCCAGGGAGAUGACCCCGGGCUGGCUGGAGUGUCAGCAUGGUAGCUGAAGGCCUGGGUGCUGGUCAGAUCUGACUCCCCGCAAGGUGCCCUCCUCAGCAAGACGGCUGCUGAAAAUAGAAGUCCCAUGGCUCAGGCUGACUGCUCCUGACCAAAGGAAACCACUGACCUUGGUCCCCCAAGUCCCCAUCUCGGGCCCCUGCCUGGCAUGUUCCUCCUUCCAGCUGACCUCCAAGAUCCAAUGCUCCUCCAGGAAGCCCUCCCAGAUUGUGACUGUUUUCCAUCCUCUGCUCACCCUCUCCACUGACUGCCUAUGUUUGCUGACUCGUAAUCUCAUCAAGCCCCGAAUGUCCAGCUCCUCCUAUAGAAUGUCAGUUCCCCAGGGGCUGGGACCUCAUGCCGUUUGUCCCUUCUCAGCCUGAGGCUCAGCACAGGAUAGGUCAGGUGGCAGAGAUGCAGUAAGAGGUUGCUGAGGAAUAAAUGAACAAUUUCUAACUAACAAACAUCACUGAGCUCUCGCUCUGUCCAGGUAUCUGUGUGCACCUUUGGUGAGCCGAUGUUCUAUAGAGCAUGUGCAGAAAAUGUCUCUCGAGUAAAUGAACCAACCGCCUCAUCCUCCUACCCACUGGGGAGAAAGUCGGGUGGGAUACAUUGAAAAAGGGCACGCAAUGACGAAUGCCACCAUUCAAGGCUGACAGCACAAACAGCAAAGGUCACUGCGGGAGACAGGAGAGAAGAAAGACCCAGACAGACCUUGAGCGAUGUCUCCAUGCAGAGAGCAAGGGACAGAAGGAGAAGCAGAGACGGGCUUCAUAGGGGCGGCUCCAGAAUUGAAACCAAGGUCCAGAAACCCAGUCCAGGAUCUGCCAGGAACUGGCUCCACACCCACCCUGCCACCACACUGGGGUAGAGAAGACCGCCAGGGAGCUCUCAGUUUGCCUGGAUGCUGGGCAAGCCUUCUUCAGAGCCUUGGGGCACCUCGUGCUGGCAUAAGGCUGAGCAGCAACAGCGCCCAGCGUGGGUCCAGGCCACCCGCCAGGGGUUGGACUUCUCACAUCCUCCCUGGAGCAGCUCCUUGUGGACCCGGAAAGGCUCUAUGCUGAUGCCCCUCCCAUGAUGAGUUUGUCCCAGGGCUGAGGCUAUGGGGUCCAAGACAAUGUAGUCCCAAUCUGCAGCUUCCCAGUCUUGAUCUGGAAGUAAACCCCUGACUACUUAGAGCCAUCAAUCAAGUAGUGAACCUACAUCACUGAGAGCAAUGCCUGCUCCACGGAGGGUGUUGUGCACGCAGUGUGGCCAUCAUGGUAUCCAGUGCUCUUCAAACAAUCCUAGGUCAGCAUUAUUGCCAUAGACUGCUUUUGAUGAAGUGGGAAGCAUUCAGUUCAAGGUUGUAUUCUCAAUCGGGAGCCACUGAGCCCUUCAACCUCUGCUGGAACUCCCCCUGGGGGGACCCCCGUACCACUGGGAGCUGUCGUUUCUAGUGCUGGGAACCCCUGGCUGUUGGAUUUCAGCUGGAGAAAUGCAUGAAGUGGAAAGCCUUGCUUCGUUCCCUUAACCUCUACCCAUCUGUCCUGGUUCAACCCAAUGGCAUCACUCUAAUCUAGUUUUACCUUUUUAAAACAGGAAAACCCUUGAGAGGUUUCCAAAGGUGACUGAUUUUUCUUUUUUCUUUCUUUCUUUUUUUUUUUGGCCGUGAUUUAAAGAAUGACCUUCUAGAGCCAUUUUAGGGAGAGGGUGCUGGUAGCAUCUGUAUGUACAGAUGUACACCCGAGGGCCUGUGGCACAAGUCUGCCAUUGUGAGUGGGUGUGGGGAACAUAUGUGUAGUUGCUUGUGGAUAGGUUUGUGGAGUGUGCAUGCUUGUGUGGUCAAGCGCAGGCACACAAGUGGGAUGUGUGUCCCCGUGGGCAGUUGUGUGUGGGUGCAGAUCCGCGUGGGUGGGUGUGGACAUGGGUGGUGUGGGCCUGUGUGGAGCCGUGCACAGGCCCAUGCAUAUGGCGCUAAGGGGUCUCAGUCAUUUUAUCCUCCAUGGUUUUGAUUACAUCUAUUUUUCCUCCAAACAUCUGCUUUGUGGGGGACAUGCCGCUUGCUCUGUUCUCGGGUGAGCUGGCCCCACACACCCUGUGGCGGAGUGCACACACCGAUGUAAUCUCCUUAAAAAAAACAGGCCAGCAUGAGGCCCUUUCAUGCUAUUGAAAGGGCACUGACUAAACCCACUGCUGUCCAAACGGUCCUGUGGGGGUGAGGGCGGAGGUUAAAGUUUAGCCAUUGAUCACGUCCCCACCCCACCUCAUCUGACACUGGGGUCUGUCCAGAGCUCAACUUGAAUGUCCCUAAUUUAGCUCCAGUCCCAAUAAAUAAUGCCAAAGGGGUAGUAGUGACUGGGCUUAGAUUUCAGCACACAUGCACGGGGCACAGCUGUUUGCAGAGACAGACAGUGUCCCGGCCCUCAAGGGGCUGCCAAUCUUCAGCAGAGGGUGGGGUGGAAAUGGCAGUCCUCAGGCUAGCCAGUGGCACAGGCCAUCCUGCUCACCCACAGCCACCAACCCAAGCCCUGAAAUGCUCUCGAAAUAAGGAAAGUCUGAGAAACUGCCCCAGACUAGAGGAGGCCAAGGAACCAUGAGGACUAAGUGUAAUCAAUGUGUUCUGGGGGGAAUGCUGGAACAGUAAAAGGACAUUGGGGGAAGCCAGUGAAAUCUGAAUAAAGUGUGGAGUGUAGUUAAUAGUAAUAUUUAACAAAAAGUGGGCAAAAUAUUCUAGCAGACACUUCACCCAAGAAGAUCUACAGGGAGCAAAUAAGCAUGAAAUAUGCUCAACCUCAUUACCCACUAUGGAAAUGCAAAUUAAAAGCACAAUGAGAUACCACUAUGUGCCUAUCACAGUGGGAAUAAGACCUGAUGAUGCCAAGUUACGGCGAUGUAUGGAGCACCCGGAACUCCCAUCCAUCACAGUGCAAACACUUGGGCGGUGUCUUAUCUAGUUAAACUAACACUGACCUCAUGACCCAGCAAUCCCACUCCUAGGUAUUUACCCUACAGAAAUAAUGACUUAUUUUAAGAGGAGAGGAACCCAAACCCAUAGGCAAAUGUCUGCAGCAGCUCUAUUCAGAAUCACCCCGAAAUGGAGACACCCCCAAGUGUCCUUUGACAGGGGAAUGGAGACGCAAGCUGUGGUCUAUCCAGGCCAUGGAUCGACUCCACAGUGAAAAGAAAGAACUGUUGACAAUGACAUGGAUGAAUCUGAAAGGUGGCCUUAGGGUCUGUAAACAAAGCCAGUCUCAAAUUUACAUGAAGUGCAACUGCACUCAGCUAGCACAUGAAUUCUGGGAAAGGCAAAACUACGGGGACUCUAGGCAACAGAUCACUGGUUGCCAGGUGUAGGAGGAGGGGGAAGGUUUGUUUACAAAGGGCUUGCACUGGUGUGAUGGAACUAUUCUGUAUCCUGACUGUGGCAGUGAAUACAUGAAUCUAUACAUGAGUGUGUUAAAACUCAUAAAAGUAUAUACCAAAAAGUUUUUUACAGCUGGGCGUGGUGGCUUGCGCCUGUAAUCUUAGCACUUUGAGAGGCAGAGG
rnacentral:lncRNA from 10 species